UGGCAGUGGUGCGUGGAUUUCUUCACCUGAAAUCGCUGUGAAGAGUGAAACCGAGCUUUUUAACCCUGAGUCCAU
ensembl:snoRNA SNORD36 Small nucleolar RNA SNORD36